GUGUGCCUUCUAGACCUUCUGAGCCAACACUCAGCACUCCAAGCACUAGGAUUACAGGUCCUAGCGGAGAUUUUGAGGAGUGAGGAGAUAAAAAGCCUUUUUCAGACUAAGGUGGUGCAGCCCUAGGGCUGUGGCUGGACAGAGGCUGUCUGCUGGUGUGAGUAGAGGGGGCAUUCCCAGACAUUAUGGGAACAGAGACGGGAUUUGUGGCCAUAAACGCCAAGAAAACAAGAGGCAAAGAGAGGCAGAUGCCAUGCAGACAAAUGUUGAGGGGUCCAGCCUUACUGUCAAAGGAUCUGCCAGUUCUGCACUGAAAUUUUGAGUGAAGUCUUGCUGGAUAAAGUACAUUCAAAUCAAUGGAAAGUCUGGUUUAAAGGC